ensembl:lncRNA
AUUGAGGACUGGUCAAACAGCAUUUCUGAUCCCGUUUCUGACCUGAAAUUAGCUGAAAUGUACCUGAAAUUACCUGGAAUUAGAGUGUGCCCGCCCGAGCGGGUGAUGCCUAAAACAUGCAAGCAAAACUGAAGAUCAGGAACUGGAACCUGGGAACCUGGAAGAUGAUGUUGUCCUGAAGGACACAAUUCAGGCAGCAGCAUGGUGCCAGUUACAGUCUUCAAGGACAGCGUUUCUCUCCCAGAGGUCAUUGGGAUGGAAGGUUGGGAGCAGAUGGCAGCAUCAACACAGCGCAAAUCCCAUGACGGCGGGGAUGAGGAAGAAACGUGGAAACCAUUCCAAUUCUCAUUCAGAUUACAUACUGACUAUGAAUUGUUUUGUGUGGAGAUGAUGGACAGGAGAAACCUGAAGGUGUUUGCCUCUUUUGAGUCAAACACCUCUCCCCCUCCCCGUCCUCCCUCCCCGUGAUGCCUGCGCCACACGACUCCAAUG